rnacentral:rRNA from 1 species
GUCUUUUUGAUUAUAAUUUAAAGUCUGACCUGCCCAAUGAGGAAUUGAAUGGCCGCGGUAUUUUGACCGUGCAAAGGUAGCAUAAUCAUUAGUUUUUUAAUUGAAAGCUGGAAUGAACGGUUGGACGAGAAAAUAACUGUCUCAAUUUGAUUGAAUAUAGAAUUUUAUUUAUAAGUAAAAAAGCUUAUAUGAUUUUAAAAGACGAGAAGACCCUAUAGAGUUUUAUAUUUUAUUAUAUUGAUUAAGUUUAGUAUAUUUAUAUUUUUAAUAUGGUAAAGUAUUUUGCUGGGGCAGCAGAAAAAUUUAAUAAACUUUUUUUACUAUAUUACAUUAGUUUAUGUUUAAAUGAUCCAUUUUUUAUGAUUACAAGAUUAAAUUACCUUAGGGAUAACAGCGUAAUUUUUUUUUAGAGUUCUUAUCGAAAAAAGAGUUUGCGACCUCGAUGUUGGAUUAAAAUUAACUUUUGGUGUAGGGGCUAAAAGGUUAGGUCUGUUCGACCUUUAAAAUUUUACA